GGCAUAGGGAGUGGAUGCUAUCAGGGUAUUUCAUACAGUUUCACAACUGUUAUCUUCCAGGUUGCCUGGGAUACCUGUGACCCUGUCGCUUCAAAGCAUCGGCCUCCUCAUUUGAACACAGGCACUGAGGGAUCUCAGAUAAAAUGAUAACCUGUUCCAUUUUUGCAUCGCAGCAACUCACCCGGGACAGGUACCAAUGAGCCAAGACCUGCCAUGAGCAAAGAAAACUCAGGAUGGCCAACCUGGAAGGAACCCUUCCUCCCAUGAGCUUCCAGAAUGGUGUGCAGCGUCCAGGACUUAGAAUCUACUCAGCAAACACUUGUGGAAUGUUGCCCCCCGUUUUCCAACACUUACACCAAGCUUUCUUUCUAUCAUCUCAAAAUAGGUUUGUUUUUCCUGGUCCUGUUCUGCACAUUAGAAUCCGUUUGGAGAAGCACUAAUUCCCUUAAAAUGUAUUUUUGGAACUAGA
rnacentral:lncRNA from 1 species